rnacentral:lncRNA from 1 species
AUGCUUUACUUUCCAGGCCAAGAGAGCCACCAGGAGAGGACCUGCCCUCCCAGUCAUUACUGUCCCCAGGGCACUGGCCACAUCCCCUUUCCUUGCCCUCAGGACAUGUCCAGUCCAUGGAAGGGCCAAAGCCCAGCCCAGAGCUGUGGGCUAUGUUUUGCAGGAGCUGAAGUCACCCAACCUGACGGAGGCAUCCAUGACAUGGCAGGGGGCCCCUGCCCUCCAGGCCACUUCUGUCCAGUGGGCACAGCAGUGCCCCUGCCUUGCCCUGUGGGUACCUUCUCAGAUCGGAUGUUUCUCACCAUGGCAUCGGAGUGCCUGUCCUGCCCCUUUGGCCAUUUCUGUGGUGCAUCUGGCCUCACUGCCCCCUCUGGACCAUGUUCACCUGGCUACUUCUGUAUGGAAGGAGUCUCCUCCCCAACCCCAGCAGGCCACGCAGAGCAUGGGGGGCCCUGUCCCCAAGGCCACUUCUGCCCCAGUGGGACCAGCCUUCCCCAUCCUUGCCCUGCUGGCUCCUACAGCAACCUGACUGGCCAAGCAUCCUGCUUCCCCUGCCCUGCUGGCUAUUACUGCCCUGAGAACAUCACCACUUACAGCGGGCACCCCUGCCCCACUGGCUUCUACUGCCCCAGAGGCUGGUUCUGCGUCUCAGCAGCCUGGACCGCCCGCCCCUUUGACCUGGACAACUACACCAGCACCAAUUGCCUGUGUCCAGCCACGGCUACAGGGGGGAAGUGUCCAGCUGGAUCCUUCUGCCCUGAGGGCAGCUCAGAACCCAUGCCCUGCCCACCAGGCUCUUUCUGCGCCACCUCUGGCCUGUCCACACCCAGUGGGCCCUGCCAGGCUGGCUACUUCUGUGCCAAGGGAGCAGUGUCCCCAGCUCCAGAGGAUGGGCUGACAGGGGCCCCCUGUCCCCCAGGAACCUUCUGCCCUGCAGCAUCACACAGGCCAACACUGUGUCCCGCUGGCACCUUCUCCGGCCUCGCAGAGCAGACCAUGCCCUCUGCAUGCCAGACCUGUCCACGAAGCUUCUACUGCAAGGAGGCUGGUCUACAGGCCCCCAGUGGGCCUUGCCCAGCAGGUGAGAGGCAGCAAAGAUCUUCAGGUGCAGGGAAGGGGGACAAGGUCUGGGGGGGAGAGCGCCCCAAGGGCAGCUGUCUGGGUCCUGGGCUCCACAGCACAGCUCUCAAGGUCCUUGUGGCAAGAGACCCUGUUAUGUCUAAAUGUCUCAGGGAGAGGAUAGUCUUCCUAAGUGUCCCUCCCUCCUGGCCAGGUUAUUACUGCGACUCUAGUGCUGGGCCCAUCAAGGACUUCAGCCUAUAUCCUUGUCCUCAAGGCUAUUACUGCCCCCUGGGCACAGCCAUGGCCACACACCACAGGUGCCCAGUAGGUACAUAUGGCCCUCGGAGAGGGCUAAGGAGCAUCACUGAAUGCCAGCUGUGCCCUGCUGGGAAAUUCUGUGCACUGGCAGGGCUCGCGGCACCAACAGGUAUGUCCUGGAGGGCAGAAAAGGACUUCGGCAUAGGGUGGGCUUGA